rnacentral:rRNA from 1 species
GGUUUUUAGAUUUUAUUAAAAAUCAAGCCUGCUCAAUGCUAAGUAAAUAGCCGCAGAAUUUUAACUGUGCAAAGGUAGCAUAAUCACUUGUCUUUUAAUUGAGGACUAGAAUGAAAGGUUUAACUAUGUAAUUUUGUCUUAUAGUAAUAUUUUGAAUUUAAUUUUUUAGUAAAAAAGCUAAAAUUCAUCUUAAAGACGAGAAGACCCUAUUAAGCUUUACAAUUCAAUAUUAUUUUCAAACUAAUUAAAAAAUUGUUCUGCUGGGGCAGCAAAUAAAAAAAUAUUGUUUACAUAUUGUGAUAAAUAAAUCUAGAAAAAUCAAUAAUUUGUUAAAAAAUAAUAAGUUACUAUAGGGAUAACAGCAUAAUUUUUUUAAAGAGUUCUCAUCAACAAAAAAGUUUGUGACCUCGAUGUUGGAUUAAGAAUCCUAUUUUACGCAGUAGUAAAAAAAGGGAGUCUGUUCGACUUUUAAAUUCUUCCA